GACGAACGCUGGCGGCGUGCUUAACACAUGCAAGUCGAACGGAAAGGCCCUGCUUUUGUGGGGUGCUCGAGUGGCGAACGGGUGAGUAACACGUGAGUAACCUGCCCUUGACUUUGGGAUAACUUCAGGAAACUGGGGCUAAUACCGGAUAGGAGCUCCUGCUGCAUGGUGGGGGUUGGAAAGUUUCGGCGGUUGGGGAUGGACUCGCGGCUUAUCAGCUUGUUGGUGGGGUAGUGGCUUACCAAGGCUUUGACGGGUAGCCGGCCUGAGAGGGUGACCGGCCACAUUGGGACUGAGAUACGGCCCAGACUCCUACGGGAGGCAGCAGUGGGGAAUAUUGCACAAUGGGCGGAAGCCUGAUGCAGCAACGCCGCGUGCGGGAUGACGGCCUUCGGGUUGUAAACCGCUUUCGCCUGUGACGAAGCGUGAGUGACGGUAAUAGGUAAAGAAGCACCGGCUAACUAUGUG
rnacentral:rRNA from 1 species